rnacentral:rRNA from 1 species
AUUGAACGCUGGCGGCAGGCCUAACACAUGCAAGUCGAGGGAGCGGCGGACGGGUGAGUAUUGUCCGGGAAACUGCUUGAUGGAGGGGGAUAACAACUGGAAACGGUAGCUAAUACCGCCUACCAUGAUAUUUGCCCAGAUGGGAUUGGCUAGGAGGUGGGGUAAUGGCUCACCUAGGCGACGAUCCCUAGAUGGUCUGAGAGGAUGACCAGCCACACUGGAACUGAGACACGGACCAGACUCAUACGGGAGGCAGCAGUGGGGAAUAUUGCACAAUGGGCGCAAGCCUGAUGCAGCCAUGCCGCGUGUGUGAAGAAGGCCUUCGGGUUGUAAAGCACUUUCAGCGAGGAGGCGUUACUCGCAGAAGAAGCACCGGCUAACUCCGUGCCAGCAGCCGCGGUAAUUC